CGGGGCCUACUUUCAUCGACGAUUAAGAUUUGAUAUUGAGAUGAUGAUCGCAGGAACUCUCCAGAUUCAAGAGAAUCCUAUGUUGCUUUGCGUCGGUCGCGUGGAAUCGGCAUGGGUGGAGCGAUCAUUCCGGAAUACAGAGGCGAAUUUGAGCUCAAAUUGCAGGAUUAGAAAUUGCUUUCCAAUUACUGACUGCGUUCUUUCAAUUUUGGCUGCAAUCAAAUUUUGGUUGCAUUUCCUGUAAGAGCGUUGUUGGAUCGAUAUCGCUGUAAUGCAUUUGCUGUUUGGACGAUAGAUGAGUUUGCGUUUGGCUUAUUUAAUUGAAAGUGUGUUUUCGUUGCUGAAAUGUCUUUUUGAAUCAAAUCAAUCUCCAGUCAAUACUGCACCAGAAGAGCAACCAGGAAAAAGCAACAGAACUAUGAGGUGCGAAGCUACAACCCACUGCAAAUCUUGGUCAUAAAUUGAUUGAAGGUACUUGGAUCAUAUCUACCUCUCUCAUAUUAUUAUGAUAGGGCUGGCGUGAAAAAAGGCUCAUGCCCUGCAAUCGAGAGCUACUCAAAGGCUGCCUAAUCUGAAGCAGAUAGAUGCCUAGUGGAAAACACGUUACUUUCCCAAAUAAGACGAGGCACACAAGGGAAUCAAAUCCAUGGAUCCCCUCAAUUAGGAUCACGUACGUCGACUAGGUACCUUUAUCAUUAUUAUAAUUAUUCAUUUCAUAAUUUUGUGUGGCGAACUGAUAGCGUUUGAAUAACAUGUUUUAGGAAUCUUGAAUUGAAUACCCUGUUUUUUUUGUUUUUUUUUUUUUAUUCAUUAUAAUUUUUCCUAGUUUCCCAACUUGGUUGUCUUCAUUCUAGUGGAUCAUGAAUCAUCUUCAUCAUCACAAUCAUCAUCCCUUCUUAGGUCAGUCAGCUGGAAAAGACCUACAGAAUUUUAUUUACCGUUGGUCGUGGCUUAUUCUCAGAAAAUUAUUAUAUUCUGAUGAUCCAUCUUUAUUUUGCUCAACUUAUAUGCUCUUUUUCAUUAGAUUGGAUGACUAAUUCAGGAUAGAUGCUGCUGCUGCUUCUGAUUCCUAUCCAUUUUUAAAAAAUCGUGAGGAUUUCCAGCCCUUGGAAUUAUAUCUUCAACUGCAACAAGAAAGUAAUCCAGCCAUUGGUGUAUACCAAAAAGAAGAAUCAUUGGCAGCCAUCCAUUUCUGAGAAUGGCAGAAUCAUGUACUGCUACAGACACAAUUUGCCACCACAGAGGUCUGAAAUGUGACUUUCUGCACUGAAACAAACUACAAGUAUUUAUUUAUGUUGUACAGCUUUGUUCCAUGUCUAGGAAGAAUAUUUCACCUGCUGCUUUAUUGUAGUUUGAGCCUAAAUUUCAUCAAUGGAAAAAAAAAAAAAAAAAAGAAUCCAUUGUGACCACCAUUAUUUCAUGUGGCUUCAUUUUGUUAUGGUUUCUUCUUCAGGGUAUUUUAUUUUUAUUUUUAUUUUUGAAAAAAAUAAAAUACUUUAGCAGGUGAAAUAUUGAGUGGGAUUUACACUUUCCAGGUCAAUUCUGUCUGAAACCUUGUAACUGUCCAAAACAUUUACUAUAUCAACGGUGAAAGCGUUUGAGUUA